rnacentral:rRNA from 1 species
GACGAACGCUGGCGGCGUGCUUAACACAUGCAAGUCGAACGAUGAAGUUCCUUCGGGAAUGGAUUAGUGGCGAACGGGUGAGGAACACGUGAGAAACCUGCCUUUCAUUUUGGGAUAACCCCGGGAAACCGGGGCUAAAACCGAAUACUCCGUCUCGGCGGCAGCGCUGAGCCGGGAAAAAAUGUUGAUGAAAGAUGGUCUCGUGGCCUAUAAGCUAGUUGGUGAGGUAAUGGCUCACCAAGGCAACGAAGGGUAGCCGGCCUGAGAGGGCUACCGGCCACACUGGGACUGAGACACGGCCCAGACUCCUACGGGAGGCAGCAGUGGGGAAUAUUGGGCAAUGGGCGCAAGCCUGACCCAGCGACGCCGCGUGAGGGAUGAAGGCCUUCGGGUUGUAAACCUCUUUCAGUAGGGAAGAAGCGAAAGUAACGGUACCUAAAGAAGAAGCACCGGCUAACUAUGUGCCAGCCGCCGCCGUAA